GACGAACGCUGGCGGCGUGCUUCAUACAUGCAAGUCGAACGAGAAGCUGACUUCGGUCAGUGGAAAGUGGCGGACGGGUGAGUAAUAUGUAGGAAAUCUGCCUUUAGGAGGGGGACAACAGAGGGAAACUUCUGCUAAUACCCCAUAUGAGCGUAGCUGAAAUGCUAUUCUUGAAAACUCCGGUGCCUAAAGAUGAGCCUGCAUCUGAUUAGCUAGUUGGUAGUGUAAUGGACUACCAAGGCGACGAUCAGUAGCUGGUUUGAGAGGAUGAUCAGCCGCAAGGGGACUGAGACACGGCCCAUACUCCUACGGGAGGCAGCAGUAGGGAAGUUUGCGCAAUGGGCGAAAGCAUGACGCAGCAACGCCGCGUGAACGAUUAAGCCCUUCGGGGUGUAAAGUUCUGUCAGUGGGGACGAAACUUGACGGUACCCACAGAGGAAGCACCGGCUAACUCCGUG
rnacentral:rRNA from 1 species